AAUGGAGCUGGUUUAAAGAUUAACUGUAAUCAGCCUCUCCCCUGCCUUCUUGGCACUUUAAAUCAGCACACUGCCGGCAUGCCACAGGAGAACCCAGCCCAGGGCAGGUACCAGGGAGACAGGGCUGCAAAAUUAAUUCAUGCUGGCUGCUGAGGACUCUGAAUGCACUUUUCAUCUUUAGACCUCAAAGUGCUUUACAAAGAAGAGACUGUCCAGUUUGACCAAUGGCAGAGGGGCAUUGCUGGCACAUGAUGGCAUAUAUCACAUUAGUGGAUGUGCAGAUUACUUCUUGUCCCACCUUCAGUGGAUGUGCAGAACAAUUGAUCACAGUCCUCUUUAUGACAGCACUUAACAUAUUUGAAGACUGUUAUCAGCUGAAACCUUGUCCGUCAGCACAUCCUCCACACCGAGACAGAGACUUUCUCAGAUUAGAAGGCGGAAAAAGAAGACUCGGGAGGCCGUGUUCAGUGAGUUAAUAAUGCACACCUCUGAGAGUGACAAGAUGGAGCUCAGCACAUGGAGCAUUGCACUGUCUAACAGCCUGCACAAGGACAGCAAGGAUAGGAGAGCAUGCGGAGAACACAAGCGUGACAUGCAGGACAAGAUGCUGUGGAUUAUAAGGGAGCCAACAGACAUGUCGAGGCAUCUGGUUGAGGUUCAAGAAAGGCAGCUGGAUGCUAGAGUCCCUCUGCAGCCUAUGCUGAACCUGCUGCCAUCCUCGCCAAAUCCAACAUCCUCCCCUCCCAGACAUCCUAGGAUGUCGCGGGGGUGUGUGUGAGGGGGGGUCCAGUAUCCCUUGCACUCCACUCCAGGGGAGGAUACAAGGACUAGAAGGCACCCAUUCCCACACCUUUGAUUGUUACUGCAGUGCGAUUGUAAGCAAGCUGUCCUUGUUCUCCCUCCACCCCCAUGUUGUUCGCCAUUUUUCCCCAGGUUAUCUUACUUUUCUUUGCUGUCUCUAUG